rnacentral:lncRNA from 1 species
CCUCAAUCAGGGUAAAAGUGUGACAUUUGCUGAGAAGGGUUUUGGCAGACUUCUGGAUUGAUGUUUUCCCUCCUUAUCCUCAGGUUUAGCAGACCAAGCAUUGAUUCAACAUAGAGUGUGUUUCCCUCUUUCCAGGUUUCUGGGCCCAGUCUGCUCUGACUCAGCCUCUCUCAGUCUCUGGAACUCCUGGACAGUCAGUCACCAUCUCCUUUGCUGGAACCAGAAGUGACAUUGGGAAAUAUAAUCAUGUGUCCUGGUUCCAAAGUCAUCCAGGAACAACCCAUAAACUCAUGAUUCACGGUGUUAGUAGUCAGCCCUCAGGGAUCCCUGACCACUUCUCUGGCUUCAAGUCUGGCAUUACAGCCUCUCUCACCAUUUCUGGUCUGCAGCUGGAGGAUGAGGCUGAUUACUACUGCUGUUCAUAUGCAGGCAAUUACAUUUACCACAGUGGGC